CCUACGGGUGGCAGCAGUGGGGAAUCUUGGACAAUGGGCGAAAGCCCGAUCCAGCAAUAUCGCGUGAGUGAAGUAGGGCAAUGCCGCUUGUAAAGCUCUUUCGUCGAGUGCGCGAUCAUGACAGGACUCGAGGAAGAAGCCCCGGCUAACUCCGUGCCAGCAGCCGCGGUAAUACGGAGGGGGCUAGCGUUGCUCGGAAUGACUGGGCGUAAAGGGCGCGUAGGCGGUUUAUGCAGUCAGAUGUGAAAUCCCCGGGCUUAACCUGGGAACUGCAUUUGAGACGCAUAGACUAGAGGUCGAGAGAGGGUUGCGGAAUACCCAGUGUAGAGGUGAAAUUCGUAGAUAUUGGGAAGAACACCGGUGGCGAAGGCGGCAACCUGGCUCGAUACUGACGCUGAGGCGCGAAAGCGUGGGGAGCAGACAGGAUUAGAUACCCCUGUAGUC
rnacentral:rRNA from 1 species